rnacentral:rRNA from 2 species
GAAUUGAAGGGGCCCCGCACAAGCGGAGGUGCAUGUGUUUUAAUUCGAAGCAACGCGAAGAACCUUACCAGGUCUUGACAUCCUCUGACAACCCUAGAGAUAGGGCUUUCCCUUCGGGGACAGAGUGACAGGUGGUGCAUGGUUGUUGUCAGCUAGUGUCGUGAGAUGUUGGUUUAAGUCCCGCAAUGAGCGCAACCGUUGAUCUUAGUUGCCAGCAUUUAGUUGGGCAAUUUAAGGUGACUGCCGGUGACAAACCGGAGGAAGGUGGGGAUGACGUCAAAUCAUCAUGCCCCUUAUGACCUGGGGUACACACGUGGUACAAUGGACAGAACAAAGGGCUGCGAGACUGCAAGGUUUAGCCAAUCCCAUAAAUCUGUUCUCAGUUCGGAUCGCAGUUUGCAACUCGACUGCGUGAAGCUGGAAUCGCUAGUAAUCGCGGAUCAGCAUGCCGCGGUGAAUACGUUCCCGGGCCUUGUACACACCGCCCGUCACACCACGAGAGUUUGCAACACCCGAAGUCGGUGAGGUAACCUUUAUGGAGCCAGCCGCCGAAGGUGGG